AUUUAUUUUUCUAUCGUAAUCUUCCUUUUGUGAGAGACAUUAGAUAUUUGAGAUCUGCGAUUGAGAGAUUGAGAUAUUUCAUCGUUCUCUUUUUAUUUCGUUCCAUUAUUUCAAAUUUGUUUCUUAUAUUGUAUAACUUUUGUUUAGAGUUUCAAUUUCUCAGUUGAAAUUUCUAGAUUUAAGGAGAGAUCAGAUUUAAGGUUUUUUAGGCUUCUUAGAUUUGUUUUCUUUUUUGGGGAAUGAGCUCUACAAUCGAUCAAGUUUUGGGCAUGAAAGCCUGAUGAGCUCACCGAACUGACAACAUGCUCUUCCUUAAGGACACUACUUUGUGGAUGACAAAUAUUCUUGCCGGACAACCUAAUGAAUGAGAAGAACGAAUUAAAAUGAAAGGAAUUGAUCUUUAAAGGCUUAAGAUACAUUUCGUAGAUAUUUGAAAAUGAUUACGAGGAAGAGGAGGAAGAACAUAAGCAAAUAGGAUGUCCAACGGACGUACAACAUGUAUCUCACGUAGCAGUCGAGGGCUCGGCUAUAGCUAACCCAAGCUGGGUAAGAUGGAUAUGUCGGAGGAUGCUUAGCCCAUAACUGCUCGUAAUCCAACUGGCAGUAGGAGAUCCAGCGCCUAGAGAAGUUUGUCAUGAAGCAAUUUUGUCCUCUUUUAACACUAAGAGGUAAAUUUCUUAGUUCAAUCUGGGCAUAGAUGGGGAUGAGAAGAGGGCAUAGAUGGGGAUGAGAAGACUAGGAUAUGAGGGUUGAUUUGUUGGAUGGGGGCUGGUGAUGAAAUUGGAGGAAGCCGAACUAGUGGUAGUAUCGAGUCAGUUGAAGAUGAGAAAGAAGUUCUUAUGGUGGGUGUGAUUUUGGAUGUAAAGAAUAUUAGAGAGAAGUAAGAAUGGUGGUGUUGUUGUUAGUAUUUGUGUUUGUUGUUCAUGGUGUAACUGAAAUAGGAAUGGUUUGUAUUUGUGUUUGUUGUUGG